CAUGAAGUUGGAAUUGCUAGUAAUCGCGAAUCAGAAUGUCGCGGUGAAUACGUUCCCGGGCCUUGUACACACCGCCCGUCACACCAUGAGAGUUGGGAAUACCCGAAGCCUGUGAGCUAACUUAUAGAGGCAGCAGUCGAAGGUAGAAUCAAUGAUUGGGGUGAAGUCGUAACAAGGUAUC
rnacentral:rRNA from 1 species